rnacentral:rRNA from 1 species
UACGGGGGGGGCAAGCGUUGUUCGGAAUUACUGGGCGUAAAGGGCUCGUAGGCGGCCAACUAAGUCAGACGUGAAAUCCCCAGGCUUAACCUGGGAACUGCGUCUGAUACUGGAUGGCUUGAAUUCGGGAGAGGGAUGCAGAAUUCCAGGUGUAGCGGUGAAAUGCGUAGAUAUGUGGAGGAAUACCGAUGGCGAAGGCAGCCCCCUGGGAUAACACUGACGCUCAUGCACGAAAGCGUGGGGAGCAAACAGG